rnacentral:rRNA from 1 species
UACGUAGGGGGCAAGCGUUGUCCGGAAUCAUUGGGCGUAAAGCGCGUGUAGGCGGCUUGGUAAGUCUGCUCUGAAAGCCCGGGGCUCAACCCCGGGAGGCGGGUGGAUACUGUCAAGCUCGAGUCCGGAAGAGGAGUGUGGAAUUUCCGGUGUAGCGGUGAAAUGCGUAGAUAUCGGAAGGAACACCAGUGGCGAAAGCGGCUUCCUGGUCCAGCACCGACGUUCAGGCACGAAAGCGUGGGGAGCAAACAGG